rnacentral:rRNA from 1 species
UACGUAGGGGGCAAGCGUUGUCCGGAUUUAUUGGGCGUAAAGAGCGUGUAGGCGGCCAGACAGGUCCGUUGUGAAAACUCGAGGCUCAACCUCGAGAUGUCGAUGGAAACCGUCUGGCUAGAGUCCGGAAGAGGAGAGUGGAAUUCCUGGUGUAGCGGUGAAAUGCGCAGAUAUCAGGAAGAACACCCGUGGCUAAGGCGGCUCUCUAGUACGGUACUGACGCUGAGACGCGAAAGCGUGGGGAGCGAACAGG